rnacentral:rRNA from 1 species
UACAGAGGGGGCAAGCGUUAUUCGGAAUUAUUGGGCGUAAAGGGCGCGUAGGCGGCCUGGCAAGUGGAAGGUGAAAUCCCUCGGCUUAACCGAGGAACUGCCCUCCAAACUGCUUGGCUUGAGUCCGGGAGAGGUGAGUGGAAUUCCCAGUGUAGCGGUGAAAUGCGUAGAUAUUGGGAGGAACACCAGUGGCGAAGGCGGCGAUCUGGGCAGACACUGACGCUGAGGUGCGAAAGCGUGGGGAGCAAACAGG